AGAACGAACGCUGGCGGCAGGCUUAACACAUGCAAGUCGAACGCUCGUAGCAAUACGGGAGUGGCAGACGGGUGAGUAACGCGUGGGAACAUACCCUCCGGUUCGGAAUAGCUCAGGGAAACUUGGAUUAAUACCGGAUACGGCUGAGAGGCGAAAGAUUUAUCGCCGGAGGAUUGGCCCGCGUUCGAUUAGCUAGUUGGUGAGGUAAUGGCUCACCAAGGCUAUGAUCGAUAGCUGGUCUGAGAGGAUGAUCAGCCACAUUGGGACUGAGACACGGCCCAAACUCCUACGGGAGGCAGCAGUGGGGAAUAUUGGACAAUGGGCGCAAGCCUGAUCCAGCCAUGCCGCGUGAGUGAUGACGGCCUUAGGGUUGUAAAGCUCUUUCGCUCGGGACGAUAAUGACGGUACCGAGAUAAGAAGCCCGGCUAACUUCGCGCCAGCAGCCGC
rnacentral:rRNA from 1 species